GACGAACGCUGGCGGCGUGCUUAACACAUGCAAGUCGAACGGAAAGGCCCUGCUUUUGUGGGGUGCUCGAGUGGCGAACGGGUGAGUAACACGUGAGUAACCUGCCCUUGACUUUGGGAUAACUUCAGGAAACUGGGGCUCAUACCGGAUAGGAGCUCCUGCUGCAUGGUGGGGGUUGGAAAGUUUCGGCGGUUGGGGAUGGACUCGCGGCUUAUCAGCUUGUUGGUGGGGUAGUGGCGUACCAAGGCUUUGACGGGUAGCCGGCCUGAGAGGGUGACCGGGCACAUUGGGACUGAGAUACGGCGCAGACUCCUACGGGAGGCAGCAGGGGGGAAUAUUGCACAAUGGGGGGAAGCCUGAUGCAGCAACGCCGCGUGCGGGAUGACGGCCUUCGGGUUGUAAACCGCUUUCGCCUGUGACGAAGCGUGAGUGACGGUAAUGGGUAAAGAAGCACCGGCUAACUACGUG
rnacentral:rRNA from 1 species